UGGGGAAUAUUGGACAAUGGGCGAAAGCCUGAUCCAGCCAUGCCGCGUGUGUGAAGAAGGUCUUCGGAUUGUAAAGCACUUUAAGUUGGGAGGAAGGGCAUUAACCUAAUACGUUAGUGUUUUGACGUUACCGACAGAAUAAGCACCGGCUAACUCUGUGCCAGCAGCCGCGGUAAUACAGAGGGGGCAAGCGUUAAUCGGAAUUAAUGGGCGUAAAGCGCGCGUAGGUGGUUUGUUAAGUUGGAUGUGAAAUCCCCGGGCUCAACCUGGGAACUGCAUUCAAAACUGACUGACUAGAGUAUGGUAGAGGGUGGUGGAAUUUCCUGUGUAGCGGUGAAAUGCGUAGAUAUAGGAAGGAACACCAGUGGCGAAGGCGACCACCUGGACUAAUACUGACACUGAGGUGCGAAAGCGUGGGGAGCAAACA
rnacentral:rRNA from 1 species